rnacentral:lncRNA from 1 species
GCUGCUGCUAUAGUACUUUCAGGCAAGGCCAAGGCUUCUUGAAAGGCUGGUCAUGCCCCAGUGAUCAAUGAAGAACUCAGGGAUAUCCCAAAACUCAGGACUAUAAGGCACAAUGGGGGAGCAGGUACCAGGUGGCCAGCAUCCUAAAUGACUCUCAGCAGCUGCAGAGAAGUAUAGAAUGCUGGGGCCCUUCCAUUACUCCAUGCACUGGGGAAGAACUAGAAUUGUGAGAAGAGCUUUCACGCUCCCAUAACCAUUCCUUGGCCCACCUCCAAGAAAAGGCAGGCUGGCCUCUGUUUAGGUGUUGUCUGUGCUUGCAUUCCCAACGUUGACAUGAGGAAUUAUCAAUGGGUUCCGGACAUAAUCAGCCACACGGCAGAGUGAAUUCCAGGAGUGUAAAUAACAAGAGCUGCCUAUAAAUCUACCUCAGAAGACAAAGGGAAAAGCAAAACUCUGCCCAGGAAGACCUUACUUUACAAACCAGGUGACCAAAUUUCUAAAACAUCAUUCCCGUAAUCCCUGAUCAACAGAAAGGAAGCUCUGGAAGCAUGAAUGGUCAGUACACACAUCGUCCACAGGACUCACACACCACAAACUAGUCAUUGAUCCUUUUGACCCAAUUUCAGAAAAUAUGUUUACAUAGAGACACAUAUUUUUGCUAUUUACUUUUUGAGCAACCAACAGGAAAACCUAUCCACAUAUGUCCAUUAUGAUCCUCUCUAAUGAAGACUAUCUCUUUAUGUUGUUUAAACAAAAAGAAAUUAAUGCAUGAGAAUGUCAAAGUUCUGAGCUUUAAGUUUCUGUACUCAAUAUAUUGAAUAAAAGAUAUAUGUAGUAUACAUUGGAAUAGAAA